rnacentral:rRNA from 1 species
CGAAAGGUAUGCUAAUACGAGAUAAUAUGCUUUUAUCGCAUGGUAGAAGUAUCAAAGCUCCGGCGGUACAGGAUGGACCCGCGUCUGAUUAGCUAGUUGGUGAGGUAACGGCUCACCAAGGCGACGAUCAGUAGCCGACCUGAGAGGGUGAUCGGCCACAUUGGAACUGAGACACGGUCCAAACUCCUACGGGAGGCAGCAGUGGGGAAUAUUGCACAAUGGGCGAAAGCCUGAUGCAGCAACGCCGCGUGAGCG